CUUUGCCGUUCCAUUCCAUUGCCGUUCAGUUAGAGAGCAGCAAAGCGAGGCAGAAUGGGUAGAAAGCUGUGUCAAACCAGUGCAUGGGUUUACUGACUACGUACAGUUAGCCUUGCAGCAAGGAAACACAGCGUGGGGUUGAGAUUUUAUAUAGUCUGUUCUGGAAAACAGAAGUCAGUAUAUCCAUCUUUAUAUAUUUAUUUAAUUAACACCAGAAUGAAGAUAGGAAGUAAGAAGUGAGGGGAGAUUACACAUUACACCUGCUUCCUAGUCUCCAGAAAGAUGCAAAGAAACCCCUGCUGAUUCUGAUAAAAAAAAUCAGAAGUAUAAAUACACUUGGAAAUGUUAAAUGUCAUCAGUUUUAAGGGACCCAAGACCAGAUGCAACCAACACAGUGACUAUGAAACCAGACAUGUGGUUUGCACAAAACAAGCAAGCCCAACAGAAUGAUGAUUUCUCCAGAUUUGUUACAAAUACAGUGGGACAGUUUAAUAUAAGUUAAUUUAUUAAUGCCUGUCUUUGUAUAAAAACGUCAUUGCAUGCAGCUAGGUUCUGUCUGGUCAAACUGUGAGAAAAAAAAUAUAAUAAGUGACACCCUACACAGGACAUAUUAUAAUAAAUCAUAAAAAUGACAUUGUAGCCAGGAUCUGCUAUUACACAGAAAAGGUGUUGUCAUGAAUAUGUUUUUUCAAGAAGUAAUGUAGUUACAUGUAUUUUUUAUUAUUAUUAUUUUGCAGGGAAAAGUCUAAGAUCUGAAAUGCUUUUAUGAGUAUUUGCAAUUUUUAAUUGUUCUCCUUUUAAAACUGAGCUGCAGUCUUCUGUUAUAAGUAAAUGCUAAUAUUAUUCUUAUAUAAGUUAUAUGACAUGUGGCUUGUUAGACCAUCUGCAUUUGUGAUUUCCUGUGAAUGUAUGAAGUAAAGUGUCAUCUCCAAUUAUUUACACAAAUGAUAUGAAUAAAACCGAUGUACAGAA